UUUCAGUCUCAGAGAGAAGUAACUUAAACUCUGGGUCACCAAAAUGCAAAAUAAACAAUGUAAUCUGAUUUUCCCUUUAUGCAUCAAUAUUUACCUCACAAUUAAAAUUAAAAUGCAUUUUUCUUCAAUUUGAAAAUGAAAACAGCAUUUGAACUUUCAUCUUUAAAGACGUAACCUGCUGUACGGUGGACAGUAUUCAAAUGCAGUCGUCAGUGAGGAUGUCAGUCAUUCUCUGCAGCGGGACUUCAUGCACCUCGCUAAAGGGAAAACUAGCAGGUCUCGCUACUUCCUGUUGUGGCACUGAGCGUUGGUGCUGGUUCCUCGCCGUACUGGGCUGCAAAAACCUGGUUGAGACUGAGAGGAGAGAUGAAACCAAAGAUGAUUUUCUUCUUCAGUGGUUUGUGGCUCCUUGGAGGUCCUACUCUGCUCCCUGAGCUCCUUCCUCUUCAGCCGGCUCUCCUUCAGCUCUGGAAACACCGAGGUUAUAAGAAUCCAGCUCAAUGUUCUCCUGUGGGCCUGACUUCUGCCCCCUG